rnacentral:rRNA from 1 species
AGAGGUCUCAAGCGUUGUUCGGAUUCAUUGGGCGUAAAGGGUGCGUAGGCGGCGCGGUAAGUCGGGUGUGAAAUCUCGGAGCUUAACUCCGAAACUGCAUUCGAUACUGCCGUGCUUGAGGACUGGAGAGGAGACUGGAAUUUACGGUGUAGCGGUGAAAUGCGUAGAUAUCGUAAGGAAGACCAGUGGCGAAGGCGGGUCUCUGGACAGUUCCUGACGCUGAGGCACGAAGGUCAGGGGAGCAAACGGGAUUAGAUACCCCGGUAGUCCUGACAGUAAACGGUGCACGUUUGGUGUGGGAGGAUUCGACCCCUUCUGCGCCGGAGAUAACGCGUUAAACGUGCCGCCUGGGGAGUACGGUCGCAUUGUUU